CUUUGUUUUGGUUUUUGUUUUUUUGCGAUCCUAGUGCAAAAAGUCUUAAUUUUUCAAUAUUUUGGUGGUCUUCUCCAGAUGAAUCCAGCGCUGACAAUACCAUUUUAAUCGUGAUAUGUGUAAUACUUUCCACAAUUCUUUUGAUUGGAGCUACCUUAGUUACUGUUUACGUUUAUCGGCAAAGAAAAGCAAGGCACAGAUCAGGACUUGAAGGAGGAAGUGAUUCUCGUGUUGGGGAAGACAGGUUAGACGACUCACUAGCCAUUGUCACGCCGCAAAUCAACAGAGGUGACACAGUUCAACAAAU